rnacentral:rRNA from 1 species
UACGUAGGGCGCAGGCGUUAAUCGGAAUUACUGGGCGUAAAGCGUGCGCAGGCGGCUUGCUAAGACAGGUGUGAAAUCCCCGGGCUUAACCUGGGAACUGCGCUUGUUACUGGCAGGCUUGAGUGUGGCAGAGGGGGGUGGAAUUCCACGUGUAGCAGUGAAAUGCGUAGAGAUGUGGAGGAACACCGAUGGCGAAGGCAGCCCCCUGGGCUAACACUGACGCUCAUGCACGAAAGCGUGGGGAGCAAACAGG